UACGUAGGGUGCGAGCGUUAAUCGGAAUUACUGGGCGUAAAGCGUGCGCAGGCGGUUCGUUAAGGUCGUUGUGAAAGCCCCGGGCUCAACCUGGGAACUGCAAUGGAAACUGGCGGGCUUGAGUGUGGCAGAGGGGGGUGGAAUUCCACGUGUAGCAGUGAAAUGCGUAGAGAUGUGGAGGAACACCGAUGGCGAAGGCAGCCCCCUGGGUCAACACUGACGCUCAUGCACGAAAGCGUGGGGAGCAAACAGG
rnacentral:rRNA from 1 species